rnacentral:rRNA from 1 species
AUUGAACGCUGGCGGCAGGCCUAACACAUGCAAGUCGAACGAGUGGCGGACGGGUGAGUAAUGUCUGGGAAACUGCCUGAUGGAGGGGGAUAACUACUGGAAACGGUAGCUAAUACCGCAUACCAUCGGAUGUGCCCAGAUGGGAUUAGCUAGUAGGUGGGGUAAAGGCUCACCUAGGCGACGGUCCCUAGCUGGUCUGAGAGGAUGACCAUCCACUCUGGAACUGAGCACCGGGCCAGCCUCCUACGGGAGGCAGCAGUGGGGAAUAUUGCACAAGGGGCGCGAGCCUGAUGCAGCCAGGCCGCGUGAAUGUAGAAGGCCUUCGGGUUUUAAAGUACUUUCAGCGGGGAGGCGUUACCCGCGGAAGAAGCACCGGCUAACUCCGUGCCAGCAGCCGCGGUAAUAC